rfam:Streptomyces paucisporeus strain CGMCC 4.2025 genome assembly, contig: Ga0079900_171
CUUCACCGAGCCCAGCAGCAGGGGCCGUUGCGCCGGCCGGUCCUUGCCGUACGUCGCCUGGAGCGCUUGCGCCUC